rnacentral:rRNA from 1 species
AGUGAACGCUGGCGGUAGGCCUAACACAUGCAAGUCGAACGGCAGCACAGUAAGAGCUUGCUCUUACGGGUGGCGAGUGGCGGACGGGUGAGGAGUACAUCGGAAUCUACUUUUUCGGGGGGGAUAACGGAGGGAAACUGACGAUAAUACCGCAUACGACCUACGGGUGAAAGCAGGGGAUCAUCGGACCUUGCGCGAUUGAAUGAGCCGAUGUCGGAUUAGCUAGUUGGCGGGGUAAAGGCCCACCAAGGCGACGAUCCGUAGCUGGCCUGAGAGGAUGAUCGGCCACACUGGAACUGAGACACGGUCCAGACUCCUACGGGGGGCAGCAGUGGGGAAUAUUGGGCAAUGGGCGCAAGCCUGACCCAGCCAUACCGCGUGAGUGAAGAAGGCUUUCGGGUUGUAAAGCCCUUUUGUUGGGGAAGAACAGCAGCAGGUUAAACCCCCGCUGUUCUGACGGUACCCAAAGAAUAAGCACCGGCUAACUUCGUG